rnacentral:rRNA from 1 species
ACGGAGGGUCCAAGCGUUAUCCGGAUUUAUUGGGUUUAAAGGGUACGUAGGCGGAAGAUUAAGUCAGUAGUGAAAGCCCAUCGCUCAACGAUGGAACUGCUAUUGAUACUGGUUUUCUUGAAUAUACUUGAAGUAGGCGGAAUACGACAUGUAGCGGUGAAAUGCAUAGAUAUGUCGUAGAACACCGAUUGCGAAGGCAGCUUACUAAGGUAUUAUUGACGCUAAUGUACGAAAGCGUGGGGAGCGAACAGG